CGAAAUGCGAUAAGUAAUGUGAAUUGUAGAAUUCAGUGAAUCAUCGAAUCUUUGAACGCACAUUGCGCCCGCCAGUAUUCUGGCGGGCAUGCCUGUCCGAGCGUCAUUUCAACCAUCAAGCCCCCGGGCUUGUGUUGGGGACCUGCGGCUGCCCGCAGGCCCUGAAAACCAGUGGCGGGCUCGCUGUCACACCGAGCGUAGUAGCAAUCACCUCGCUCAGGGCGUGCUGCGGGUUCCGGCCGUUAAACAGCCUUACAAAACCCAAGGUUGACCUCGGAUCAGGUAGGAAGACCCGCUGAACUUAAGC
rnacentral:misc_RNA from 1 species